UUGUACGAAGAUCUAAGCUUAGUAGACACAGUUUUAAUUUCUUCCCGAUAGCAUAUCAGUAUGAAGAGUGCCCUUUUACUCGUAAUCCUGCUGACGACGACGGCGCUUGCUACCGGCGUCCUCGCAGCGUAUAAUGACCCGCUUCAGCCAGACUACCUCCUACCUUCGGAUGGCAAGCCAGGUUACCCAUACACGAGCGGAGAUACGCGAUGGAGAAAAACCCCACCAGCGAAAACUAUAACCGGGGAGGAGUUGCGAAGAUCGGUUAUCGCAAGCGGCGGCUGCGAUAAUCAUAUUCACAUACGGCCUCCUCCCGCAAUAAUCUCAGGAGAGUGUCGCCGCCUGCGAAGAUUGGUUUUGGCAGGCGCCCGUUAUGUGUUCCGCCUGCGAAAAUAGCGCUGGAUAGUCAUCUUCCUCCCCAAGCUCUAUUCAUUCUAUCCGGUGUUUCUCUCUCCUAAAGCUCAGAGAAGAUGACCCCAAGAAGGCCGCUGAACUAGCCAGAAAAAAAUACUUUCCAAUUGAUGGCUGCCAGGAAAAAUACCAACAUGGGAAAGCAAUAUGGCUGGAUUUUGCACUUGAUGACGGUCCAUGGGAGAUGACAAGGUUAUAUAAAUGGUACAUGGAUGCCAGCAAGAAAGGCCUAAGUCAUAUAACAAUUCGAUCACCGCAUGAUGCUUUCGCCGGCGACGGUUACUUCUGGCUAGAUUUUGAAGAUCUCCACGCCAUAUAUCGUCAGGAAAAGAUUGACGUCAACUAUAUCGGUGCUUAGUGCAUGAAUGCAUGGAUGCUAAGAAGGAAAAAGAACCUAUCGGAUUCCUGCAUCCAACUAGGAUCUGUCAAACACAGCAUACCGUGAGGCUAUCACCAAGGUCGGAGCAGCUGAAAGACAAGACUCCCGAAUAGAUAGCUGAAUAUAAGAAGGGCUUGCACAAGCAGAAAAUAAUUACUGUUGCACAGUAUAUUGGACGAGCCUUCUUGCACUUUCAAAAUAAGAGAGUCGUCCUAACCGUUUAUAAUUUUAAGUCUGGUAAAUUUAUCUUCUACAUAUGUGUCUUGUUUUAUCCGUGACUAACUGCACUGUCAUUAAUAUAUACAUUAAUAUAUAGCGAUCAUUAUAUCUGUUUAAUCAUCUACCCGAAGCACGGAAUCGUGAUAGUCUUGGACCCUCUCGAUUACCGUCACGAGUCAUACAAAGAAUUUCUAAUAAUCUUACAAUAUACGUACAACUACUACAAGUUCAUGGGUGGAGAACAGAUUCGAACAAGUGAGAAGCUGCUAGUACAUACAUAUUGGCCGUGUCAUAAGCAACCUAGAGGCACUGUCCUAUACGGGUAUUACGCGUGCGAAUUCCUCAGGGUUAAUGGAAGGUACAGGGUUAACGCAAAGAAUUUGCCAAGAAUAGAACGUCGAACAAGCUUUGACAAUACAAGCAUCACAAAUAUCCAGCACGAUCUCUUCCACUUCAUCCACCGUGAGUAUUGUCAUGUGGAAGGAAAGUUCUUCAACCCAGAGGGUGCCCUAGCUACAAGUGAUGAAUACAAGAAUCUUCGGGAGUGUAGCAAUGCUAUGCCAUAAUGUAAUUAGAUAACGUAUUUCAAGUGACAAUAUGUAAAAAAUAUUGUAAUAUUUUGAUGACACUUUUCACUUAUGCAAUAUAUGUAGAUUUCUCAGUAUCAAAAGCUUGUUUUUUACUAAUAUUAUUUAUGCAUCAAUUAUAAUUAAAUAAUUGAAAAAUAAUUUAUGAGCAAAUUAUUAUUGUAUCAAAUUUCAAAUUGUUUACCUAUCCUCGCAGACGGCAUUUCAUUGUUUUUGCAGUCAGCAAUUCUCUACUUUCGCAGAUGGCCCAUCUAUCUCCACUCCGUCUGGGAAAAUGAUCUUCCCAGGCGGACCACCAACCCGUCUGCGAACAUCAACGAUCUUCACAGGCGUUGGGCUGCCGGCCGUCCGCCUGAAAAGACGCGUUCUCCCUGGGCGAAAAUGCUUUUUCUAAGUAGUGGCAGCUGCCGGCGAGGGAAGCUCGCUCCGGCGAGACAGCCAGACGCCACGCCCCUUCUUUUCCCCACAACUCCAAUCGCCUCCAAACCUCAGAUCCGACGGCACCAGCUCUAUCAACGCGUGACGCGACAGCGGAGCCGCGACUCGAAGCUAACUGAGCGAGCUCGCCUCGCCGGCGGUUGAUUUCAUCUUGGUCUGGCUCGUCGUCUUCGUGGGGUACGGUCCAGUUUCAGCCUCCAGGGCAUCGUGACCUCCUCCUAUUUCCCAUAUGCACUGAUCGCACUUUAAAUUGUAGCAGGUCAAUGUAAAAAGCUUACUACAGUUUGCCUGGCCCAGUUAAUAUAACACUGUUCUAAAAAAAAAAGUUAACAUAACACUAAUGUCUACGUGCAAGUCUUAUGGUUACGGUGUUUCAAGGCAUGUGCUUCAUUUACAUUGACACAGCUGACAAUAAUAAAUUUGCAAAAUUAUUUGUAAGCUUAUUCUGUAGUUUUCUUACCGAACCUUAAUUUGGUAUGCUCUAUUGUUUACUUGUCCAGAAACCUAAUGCACCGCUGCGUGGUGUUCCUGUUGCCCGUGGGGAGUGAAAAGUUUUCUUUCACUCUUCCCUUUUUUUUAAGGUCACUACUUGUUUUAAUGUAAAACAACCGAGUGCGCGUACUCUCACCGGGGAACACACAGGA